UACGAAGGGGGCUAGCGUUGUUCGGAAUCACUGGGCGUAAAGCGCGCGCAGGCGGCUAUGUAAGUUAGAAGUGAAAUCCCGGGGCUUAACCUCGGAAUUGCUUUUAAAACUGCAUAGCUCGAGUUCGGGAGGGGAUAGUGGAAUUCCUAGUGUAGAGGUGAAAUUCGUAGAUAUUAGGAAGAACACCAGUGGCGAAGGCGGCUAUCUGGACCGAAACUGACGCUGAGGCGCGAAAGCGUGGGGAGCAAAC
rnacentral:rRNA from 1 species